UACGGGGGGGGCAAGCGUUGUUCGGAAUUACUGGGCGUAAAGGGCUCGUAGGCGGCCAACUAAGUCAGACGUGAAAUCCCUCGGCUUAACCGGGGAACUGCGUCUGAUACUGGAUGGCUUGAGAUUGGGAGAGGGAUGCGGAAUUCCAGGUGUAGCGGUGAAAUGCGUAGAUAUCGGGAGGAACACCAGUGGCGAAGGCGGAACUCUGGGCCGGAACUGACGCUGAGGAGCGAAAGCGUGGGGAGCGAACAGG
rnacentral:rRNA from 1 species